CCGAGUCUCAAUCACAGAGAGCAUCUGAAUUGAAGUGAUCCAUUUUCUCUUCUCUUCUCUCAGAAAAUGCGUCAUUACAGCAUCCACAACAUCAUCUUCAAUUCCCACCAUUGUACAACACUUAACCCCAAAAAAAUUCCCCCUCUUUUCCCAUUCCCAUUCUCUCACAAAUUGAAACUCUUCACCACCACCACCACCACUUCAGAUUCCGAAUCUGAACCAAACUCUUUCGUCGUUUCCUACCUCAUCAACACCAUCGGUUUCCCACGUGAAACAGCUCUCAAAGCAUCAAAACGACUCCGUUUCAACUCCCCAGAAAAGCCCAAUUCCGUUUUCACCUUCUUCAAAAACCACGGUUUUUCAGACUCCAACAUACGCAACAUCUUCAUCAAAGAACCAUGGCUUCUUUCCUCAGACACCCACAAUUUAAUUCUCCCAAAGUUCCAAUUUUUCCUCUCCAAAGGCGCUUCACCUUCCGACAUUUCUCGAUUGUUAUCAGUAAGCCCUAGAAUUUUACAAAGUAGUUUGGAGAAUAGAAUUAUCCCUCUUUUUGAAUUCUAUAAGAGGUUUUUGAAAUCUGAUAAAGCUACUAUUUGUUACAUGAUUCGUUAUUCGAUUCCUUUGUCUUAUAAUCUUACUAUGGUUAAUAUGAAAUUGAUGAUUGAUUAUGGAGUUUGUGAUUCCAGCAUUGCUAGAUUGCUUCUAACUAGACCAACUAUACUUGGAUCAAAUGAUUUUAUCAAUACUUUGGAGGAAGUUAAGGGUUUAGGGUUUGACCCUUUAACAACUACUUUUGGGAUAGCUUUGGUUGCAAAGAAAAGUUUGAGUAAAACCCUUUGGGAUGAUAAAGUUGCUGUUUUUAAGAAAUGGGGUUGGUCUGAUGAAGAUGUUGUUAGAGCUUUUAGGGUUCAGCCUUUUUUGAUGUUGGCUUCCAUUGAUAAGAUUAAUUUGGUGAUGAGUUUUUGGGUUAAUCAAUUGGGUUGGAAUUCUUUGGCACUUACUAAAAGGCCACAAAUGUUUUGUAUAAGUUUGGAGAGAAGGAUCAUUCCAAGGGCAUUGGUUUUGCAAUAUCUUCAGAUGAAAGGUUUGUGGAGAAAGAAUGCAAGCUUAGUUACACCGUUUUCUUUGUCGGAGAAAUUGUUCCUGAGCAAGUUUGUUGUCGGUUUUAAGGAUGAGUCUGAUUAUCUAUUGAAGCUUUAUGAAGAAAAAAUGAAUCUUGCAUACACCAAGGAGAAGAACACUGACAUGAAAAUCACCAAAUAGUGGGCGCACGAGGAAGAGACGGCAAAAUCAUACGAAUUACACGUGACACUGAUACUUCUACAUCAUCCACAAUGAAUCCUCCAAAGAGGAUUCGACCGACAGCUUCAAAGAGAAGAAGACGGAUGAUAAUUGAAGACGAUGAUGAGAGACAUCAUGGUCAUUAAUUUAUCCCAAAUGUGAUUAUAUAUCAGCAGGAGGAGCCUUCUAUAGUGCAUGAGGAGGAUGAGGUACAUGAGCGGGUGGAUGUACAUCAGUAGAAGGAGGUUGCACCUGCUCAUGAGGGAGAGCAUAUGGAGGAGGGGCAUGAUGGAGCUGAGGGACCUGGUGAGGUCACACAGUAUUCUGGAGGACCUUAUGAUUUGUCUUUCCUUACACAAUACAAUCAUCAUGUUUCAGCUAGACUCUGGUUUGGUGGGAUGUGACCAGGGUGCUAACGUGGAAUGUUUUGCCCGAAUGAAUAAAUGGUGCUACAAACAAGACAAGCACAAGGUUCAUGAGUACAGACGUAUCAUUGAUGCAUUGACACAUGCAGAUAUUAUAUGGAGACCAUGAGAGAAUCAUAUGAGUGUCAUUUCUUUUGAUGAUAUCAUGCUUUAUAUUGGCCAUCUCCGUUUAUGCAGCAUUUUAGUGAAAUAUCUGUUAGAGAUGUGUUUGAGACAAUUUGGAUAUAUCAAAUAUAUUUCAUCACCGCCACUUCCAGAUCCUUCAAGAUUAUUUGAUAUAGAUGCGGAAUGGUUGAGAUAUGUGACGCUAGUGACAGAGAUAUCUCACAAGCUUCGUCUAGCUACAUAUUCAUCUGAGUAUGAAGAUGGGUAUUUGGAGUGGUUCUAUCAGGUGUCUCAUCCACUGUUGGUGCAACCAGAUGGUGUACCCUAGGUACCACAUUAUUGUGUACCGCCCACCAGUGCAGAUACUUCUAGUUCACAGCCGCCACCUAUCCUACAGCAGAUCGACGAUCUUAUACAACAAGGGUUGAAUGAACAUGAAGCUAGUCCGGAUGAUGAGUUGUAUAUUCACUUUUAUAAAACUUUGUAUUUAUCACGUAGUUACACUAGUUAAUAGUAACACUUUCAUGAAUUAUUGUUAUGUCAGUUACUUUUUAUAAAUACUUUAUGAAUUAUUGUUAUGUCAGUUA